rnacentral:rRNA from 1 species
UACGUAGGGUGCGAGCGUUUGUCCGGAAUUAUUGGGCGUAAAGAGCUUGUAGGCGGUUUGUCGCGUCUGCUGUGAAAAUCCGGGGCUCAACCCCGGACUUGCAGUGGGUACGGGCAGACUAGAGUGUGGUAGGGGAGACUGGAAUUCCUGGUGUAGCGGUGAAAUGCGCAGAUAUCAGGAGGAACACCGAUGGCGAAGGCAGGUCUCUGGGCCACUACUGACGCUGAUGCACGAAAGCGUGGGGAGCAAACAGG